GUUUUUUUUAUAUAUAUAUAUGAAUAUCAUUAAAAAUAAAGUAAACCCAAAGGCGUAAUUAACUUAACUGAUAUAUUAUAUGGGAUUAUAUAUGUAAAAUUAUUAUUAUUUUUUUAUAUAUUCCAUCCCGGGGCGUUCUAUAUAGUUAUGUAUAUUAUAAUAUAUAUUUUUUUUAUAGAUUUUUAUAUUAUUUUAUAUACCUCUAACUGGAGCGUACCUUGAGCGUAUAUGUUGUGACCCGAAAGAUGGUGAACUAUACUAGAUCAGAUUGAAGUCAGGGGAAACCCUGAUGGAGGAUCGAAACAGUUCUGACGUGCAAAUCGAUUGUCAGAAUUUAGUAUAGGGGCGCAAGACCAAUCGAACCAUCUAGUAGCUGGUUCCUUCCGAAGUUUCCCUCAGGAUAGCUGGUGCAAUUAAUAAUAAUUAAAAAUAAUCUUAUCUGGUAAAGCGAAUGAUUAGAGGCAUUAGGGCCGAAACGGCCUUAACCUAUUCUCAAACUUUAAAUGGGUAAGAACCUUAUCUUUCUUGGAUAAUGAAGAUAUUAAGGUUAUGAUAUAUUGUGCCCAGUGGGCCACUUUUGGUAAGCAGAACUGGCGCUGUGGGAUGAACCAAACGUGAUGUUAAGGCGCCCAAAUUAACAACUCAUACUGAUACCAUGAAAGGCGUUACUUGCUUAAAACAGCAGGACGGUGGACAUGGAAGUCGUAAUCCGCUAAGGAGUGUGUAACAACUCACCUGCCGAAGCAACUAGCCCUUAAAAUGGAUGGCGCUCAAGUUGUAUGCCUAUACAUCACCAUUAAAAUAUAUGAUUUAUAUAUAAAAAUUUUUUAUAUAUAAAUUUUGAAAUUUUAAUGAGUAGGAAGGUACAAUGGUGUGCGUAGAAGUGUUUGGUGUAAACCUGCAUGGAGCCGCCAUUGGUACAGAUCUUGGUGGUAGUAGCAAAUAAUCGAAUGAGACCUUGGAGGACUGAAGUGGAGAAGGGUUUCGUGUGAACAGUGGUUGAUCACGAGUUAGUCGGUCCUAAGUUCAAGGCGAAAGCUGAAAAAUGAUAAGUUAUAUUUUUUAUUAUAAAUUAUAUAUAAAUACUUAUUAUUAUUGAACGAAAGGGAAUACGGUUCCAAUUCCGUAACCUGUUGAGUAUACGUUUGUUAUUAAAAAUGGGCUAAUUAAUGCGCUCAUCCUGGCAACAGAAAUGACCAUAAAGACGCCGUCGAGAAAUAUCGAAAGAGUUUUCUUUUCUGUUUCAUAGUCGUAUUACCAUGGAAGUCUUUAGAAGAGAGAUAUGGUAAAUGGACUAGAAGAGCAUGGCAUUUACUGCUGUGUCGAUAUUUUCUCCUCGGACCUUGAAAAUUUAUGGUAAGGUCACGCAAAUUUCUUAACAGGCCGUACCGAUAUCCGC
rnacentral:rRNA from 1 species